GACGAACGCUGGCGGCGUGCCUAAUACAUGCAAGUCGAACGCAGUGGGGACGGGUGAGUAACACGUGGGUAACCUCCCAUCAGAGGGGAUAACACUUGGAUACAGGUGCUAAACCGCUACUGAUGGAUGGACUCGCGGUGCUUUAGCUAGUCGGGGGGGUAACGGCUCACCAAGGCCACGAUGCAUCGCCGACCUGAGAGGGGGAUCGGCCACACUGGGACUGAGACACGGCCCAGACGCCUACGGGAGGCAGCAGUAGGGAAUCUUGGGCAAUGGACGAAAGUCUGACGGAGCAACGCCGCGUGAAUGAAGAAGGUUUUCGGAUCGUAAAGCUCUUUUGUUAGAGAAGCGGUAUCUAACCAGAAAGCCACGGCUAACUACGUGCCAGCAGCCGCGGUAAUAC
rnacentral:rRNA from 1 species